UGGGAGUGGUGGGGAAAGAUAUAGAGAUCACUUUAUAUUGCUAUAUACAUCAAUAGAGGAAUGUGCCAUCUAGUUGUGGUAAUGAAAGGCCCACAGAAUCGGAAGUGAAAUAAAUAACAGACAAUAGGGCCCCGGGAUCAGAAGUGGGAGGGAGCGCUUCAGGCUGAGAUGGGGGGCAGGGGAGUUGAAGAUUUCAGUAGGUGCGGAGAAGGGGUAGGACCCAGCGGGGAGCCAGAAAUGGGCACCGAGCUGAGGCAGGAAGGGAGAGUGAAUGCAGUGGCAGAUGGUCAGGACAUAUGAGGUUAGCUGGGGAAGGUGCUGGUGCCAGGAAUGGACAGAAAGAUGGGAGAUUCCAAAGCAGGCAGGGGUGAGCCCACAAUUUAGGAACAAAGGGCUCAGGCCCUGUACACUGGGGGAAGGAAGGGGUGACGGGAGAGGUGGGCCACGCACUGCAGUUCAGUGGAGAAAGUACCUUUUUUCUUGGCAGGUCUGUCCCUUGCAGUCCCUUGAGCACUAAGUGGAGAAGGUCCUCGCUGCUUGAAACUGCCCUGCCCAUGGGCAUCCCUGGAGUGCGAAGCAUGCACUAUUAUCAGGAGAGGGCUCUAGUCCCAACGCUACUCAACUUUGUCUUUGGAACAGGUGUUUGCACAGGGGUCUCUGAGCCUGGGGGUUUGAAGUGCAGUGCUAUGAAAAAGACGCGCAAGUACAUGCUGGUCCCCCUCCCUCCCGGGGGCCUUCUAAUUGGCCUCCCUCUGCCCUCCCUUCUCACCUGGUGCAAAGCACAGCCCCAAGAAAAGCUGCCCUCUCCCUUGCAACUAGCUAUAUGGUGUUGUGCAACUUCUCUGGGUUAGAGGAGGUAAUUAACUGUUUUGGUUUAAAAGCCCCCUGCUGGGUUGCAGUCUGCGUGGGAGAAUAAAAAUAAACAAGCGCGAAAGGGAACAGUGUCAUCAAAGGACUCGGAACCUACCUUUCUUCAUUCUGAGGGUGAAAGCACUGCUGUUGGCCACAGGUGCCACGGAUUACCCACGCAGGGCUGCGUCCACUGGCCUUUCAUGCGUUUUUUAAACAAUAAAUCAAGAAUGAUCGGCUCAUAAUUUAAUGAGGCAGCCUUGCCAUGGUUCCAGAUCCGCAUCACCUGUCCUGGCCGGAGCAGUUUGACUGUGACUUUCUUUAGUUCUCAAGCUGGUUUGAGGAACAUUGCUAGAAAUGAUCCAAAUUUGUCCCCUUAAUGUAAAUAUCAAGAACCAGGUGGGUUAGGGUUUUUUUUGUCUGUUUUGUUUUUAAGCCAAAGCCUCUUCACUUCUAUGGAGGAAAACAUUUGUUUCCCUGGCCAUCACCAAAUUUUGGAGGCGAGCUGGGCCCCUUCCGUCCGAGGCCACACUCAGAAUUCUUUACAUUCCUCAGUGCUGAUCAGCCUUCCUGUCAGCCCUGAAGAAAGAAAUCAGGUAGCUGAGUAAGCUCUGUGAUGGCAGAAAGAGACCGUAAAGAAAGAUUUCUUGCAUACACUGAACUGGAUCAUUAUCCUCCCAAACUACUCUGAAGGGAAGAGUCCAAGCCACACAGAAGGAGGUUUCUCUUUGUGGUCUAUUGGAGCAAGCCACAGUUCCUCUGGAUUUGGGUACCGUGGAGAAGGCGGCAGAGCCCAGUGUCAUCUGACCUAGCUCAAGAACACAGAUCUUCUAUAAUUAAAUGUCUCCCUCAACAAAAUGCUAAUAAAACAAUGCAAUGGCUGCACCACA